AGCUUUGCACAGUGGCAGCAUCAUAGCCAAUGAGGUUUGUCCAAGGCAUGAUUAUUGCUAAAAGAAAAUUUCCAGUGAGAUAUGUCCCUUGUUCCUCUCAUUUAUAUUCAGAAUCACUGAACAGCAUAAAAUGA
ensembl:snRNA U4 U4 spliceosomal RNA